rnacentral:tRNA from 1 species
AACUAAUGAGCUUGAAUAAGCCUAUAUUUUGAAAAUAUAAGAUAGAGAUAACAACUCUAUUAGUUU